CAGCAACAAUUACGUUGAUGAAGACGGUCUGAAGAUUACAUUAUGUGAGAGAGUUGAAAUAGCGAGGAAAAGUCGAGUAUCAUGUGUGACCUGUAGUGAAAAAAUGGAAUUGAGCCACUUUUUACUAUUACUAUAUACAUCUCGUACAAACUUUCCAUUUUUCGCAUCCUGCAUCCCCUCCUCUCGAUAGAUGAGUUGAUAGAAAACAAUUCCAUUGGUCUAUGCAUUUCCUGUCAUGAAUGUAUAUUGUCUGAAAGUCUUUCUACUCCUCUCACAUACCAAAAUUCUCAAAACUAGAUCGUGAAAACUCCAUUUUUAGUUGUAGCUAAUUGAAACGAUACAUUUUGUCCUUUCUCAUAUAGACGGUAUAUUGAGCAUUCAAACAAACUUUGCGGCAGCUGCAUCCUCCAGAACACUACAUCCAGCAGGUUUUUUAAAUAAUGGUUCAAAAACUUUGCGUUUGUCUUUGUUAGACGCUCCGUAUCUUUUUUAAGGUAGAAUAUCUACGAUACUCUGAGCGCAGAAGCAACUCGAUUGACUAAUGCUUUCAAAAGGUGCAGAUUCUUAGCUUAAUGCUUAGUGCACCUUUCGAACUUGUGGCCAAAUGAGUCCAAUUGCAAUAUCCAAUAGAAAAGGGAAUGAGGGGUUUGGAAUGAAAUAUAUCACUGACAUGGUGCAUUGGUCUAUAGUAUAACUUGAUUAAUUUGAAAAUGCGACCCCAUUUGCUGUUUCGAUUAUUAUCAUUUUUACCAUUGUCCCACAGUGCUGUCCUUGUCGACUCUGUAAGUUACAAAACCAAGUACUUGGAAACUCCUCGACUUACUUUAUGUUUUAUAAUGUUGUACCGCACCUUUAAUUACCUUUAUACUCGUAUUUUACAGCAAAGGAAACAUUCCAUUCGUUUUUUUUCAAGAUCAUGCCCUAUACCAUAGAAAAUGGAAUGAAAGGUUUGGAAUGAAAUAUCACUGACAUGGUGACUCCAGUAAUUAUUAGCUAUUUAACCCUCUUCAUAUUUAUAUUAAUGAUUUUUUCAAAAAUUCCCAAUUGAGAGUAAAAUAACAUACCUUUCUCUGUUUAGAUUAAUGGAAUGGCAUCUGAAGCAACGGAGAAAUGAAACCAAGACACCCAGAAUAUGGGUGAGCCUUUUGUUUAUGUGAUUUUUUAAAAAAUUCCCAAUUGAGAGUAAAAUAACGUAUCUUUCUGUUUAGAUUAAUGGAAUGGCAUCUGAAGCCCAGUGAACGAGAAUAUCGGCGAGCCUUUUGUUUAAUUGAUUUUUUUUUCAAAAAUUCCCAAUUGAGAGUAAAAUAACAUACCUUCCUCUGUUUAGAUUAAUGAUAUGGCAUCUGAAGCAACUGAGAAAUGGAAACAAGUCAACCAGAAUAUGGGCGAGCCUUUUGUAUAAGUGAUUUUUUUCAAAAAUUCCCAAAUGACAGUAAAAUAACGUACCUUUCUCUGUUUAGAUUAAUGGAAUGGCAUCUGAAGCAACAGAGAAAUGGAACCAAGUCAACCAGAAUAUGGGCGAGCCUUUUGUAUAAAUUAGAUUAAUGGAAUGGCAUAUGAAGCAAUCUAGACAUGGAACCAAGUCAACGAGAAUAUGGGCGAGCCUUUUAUAUAAAUUAAUGAUAUGGCAUCUGAAGCAACUGAAAAUUGGAAACAACUCAACCAGAAUAUGGGCGAGCCUUUUAUAUAAGUGAUUUUUUUCAAAAAUUCCUAUUUGAGAGUAAAAUAACAUACCUUUCUCUGUUUAGAUUAAUGAUAUGGCAUCUGAAGCAACUGAAAAAUGGAAACAACUCAACCAGAAUAUGGGCGAGCCUUUUAUAUAAGUGAUUUUUUUCAAAAAUUCCUAUUUGAGAGUAAAAUAACAUACCUUUCUCUGUUUAGAUUAAUGAUAUGGCAUCUGAAGCAACUGAAAAAUGGAAACAACUCAACCAGAAUAUGGGCGAGCCUUUUAUAUAAGUGAUUUUUUUCAAAAAUUCCUAUUUGAGAGUAAAAUAACAUACCUUUCUCUGUUUAGAUUAAUGAUAUGGCAUCUGAAGCAACUGAAAAAUGGAAACCACUCAACCAGAAUAUGAGCGAGCCUUUUGUAUAAGUGAUUAUUUUCAAAAAUUCCCAAUUGAGAGUAAAAUAACAUACCUUUUUUCUCUGUUUAGAUUAACGGAAUGGCAGCGAAGAACUGCAACCAAGUGACGAAUAUUAGUGAGUGAGAAUUAAUGAUUUUUUGUCAAAAAUUGAUUUUCCAUUGUAAGUAAUGCAAAUUUUCCCUUUUAGAUGAGUGGUACCUAUCGUAUAAGGAGCAAUCGAACAACCCACCCAAGUGGACGAGUGUGUAGGUG